ensembl:lncRNA
UGUAUAAAUGUGUGUACAAAAAAGUCUACAAAAUGUUCAUUACAGUAAAAUCAGAUGAAAUAUUCCCAAUGAAUCCUCCCAUUGUUUGACAGAAUUGAGGACAUUGCCAACCCUUACGACUAUCCAAUGAUCAGCCAGGGUGAAAUUACUGUAAAGAGCAUCAAUGACGUGGAGGAAUUCAUUGCCACUGAUACCUGUGUCCAGAUCAUCCAGCCCUGCCACCCACCUGAUCAGCCAGCAACCUCUGACUGAGCGGUGCAACGGAUGCCACCCCCGGUCCAGGACUACUCCUGAUCUGUGGCACCUGAGCGAAACGGCUGGACGACAGCCUGAACUGGCAGACAGACCAUAAUCAAACCAAGGCUACAGCUACAGAGAGACAGCCAGGAUCAUCGGUGCUCUUGCCCACAGCCGCAUCAUCCAGUUGAAGGAAUUGGAAAAUGCCCACAAGGAGGCCGGAGGACUGGAAGCGUGCGCAGAACUGCCAGACCAACUGGACAAGCAAGUGACAGCGGAUGAAGAGGACAAGGAGCUACAGGAGGAAGUGGAAAGCUUCAAGAGGCCUUUACAAAACCUACACAGACACUGAGCAUAGAAAGCAGCUGGGGUAAAAGCCAGAGAGGCUCCAACAGGCUGAAGCUCUCUUAAGUAAUGGCCCAGGGGAAUCGAAACAACGCCUGUGAAUGCCACCUGCAAGCAGCCCAAGCUGAAACCCAAGUCCUUGGCUCAGCAACAAGAUAACCCAAACACCAAUCGGGUAAAGUCAAACAAAGCCAAGGUGACCUCAG